rnacentral:lncRNA from 1 species
AUCUCUACUGAAAAUACAAAAAUUAGCUGGGCGUGGUGGCGCAGGCCAGUAGUCCCAGCUACUCGGGAGACUGAGGCAGGAGAAUCGCUUGAACCCGGGAGGCAGAGGUUGCAGUGAGUGGAGAUUGCGCCACUGCACUCCAGCCUGGGUGACAGAGCGAGCCUCUGUCUCAAAAAAAAAAAGAAAAGAAAAGUGAACAAAACAAAAAGUGCUGGUGCCCAUAUGAGAUUACAUAAUGAUAUAAAAGUAAAGUUUUUUUCAUAAUAAUGUUUAACAUUACAUCUUUAAAAACACAACCCUAUUAUCCCGUAUUCACUUUCAUAGUUUACCUUAGUAAUUUUUAUAAUCGCUAUUGCCUGCAGACACAAUUACAGUAUUACAUAUAAGGUAUUAAUGCACUUCCUCUGCAGAAGAUUAAUUUUAAUUGACGUUCUAUAAAAAUUAACAUGAACAUAUUAGAAUUUAGGAACAUGUUACAUAUCCCAUAGGGUAAAAUUAAUAUGACAUUUAAAAAUUCUUAGUUAUACUUAAGUAGGUCUAAUUUAUACCAAAGAAAUCCAUAAAGUAAGCUCUAGAGCAAUGCUGCUUAUCUUGAGGAUGGGAUGGCAGAUUAUAACUGCUUUAUUAAGUACAACAUUCUGAAUUUCUAUGAAGCUGUAAUGGCUUCUUGUGCGCUAGAGAUUUUGUUGUUUAGGAUGUAAUUGAUUGUAAUGUAUACUGUCUGCUCUUGAAUAACUCCCAUUUUCCAACUCAGAGAGAGUUUCAUUUCAGCAUCAAAUAAUAUGAUUAUGGCAUUUGUAAAGUUUCUGAAGCAUUUUUUAAUUUUUUUCAGGUGAAAAAUGAUUUAUAAUGAAAUAUGAUAUAAGUUAAAGGGGAAAUUGAAUGUAAUCUCCAUACGUUUUAUUUUAAGGCCACAUACAGUACAUAGAAUAGCUCCUCUUUUUUUGGCCAUUACCCUUUAGUUGGCAUUAUACAGAGUCAGUAAAACAAAUACCUGAAUGCUGAAGGAAUUGGCAGUCUCAUGAAAUGUUUUGAUUUCUGCUUUCUAAUUGUCACCCUUUGCUUUUACCUAACAUUACCUGCUUUAACAAUCUCGCAAAAAUCUCUAACACCAAAACUCAAAUCUCUAUUAUUAACUCUAAGGUAAAUCAACCCCUGGAAAUACUUGACAGAGUUUUUACUACAAGGGCUUGUUUCUUUUAAGCCCGUUUUGACAAACUUCUGCCCCACUUCCCUCGUUUUUAUAUUUUCCUUUUUUAUUUGUUUAAUUUUAUUAUUAUGAUACUUUAAGUUUUAGGGUACAUGUGUACAACGUGCAGUUUUGUUACAUAUGUAUACAAG